AUAAUCGUUGGAAACGACGACUAAUACCGCAUACGGUUCUUGGAAGGCAUCUUCUAAGAAAGAAAGGAUUUAUUCGGUAAAAGAUGGGCCCGCAUCUGAUUAGCUAGUUGGUGAGAUAAUAGCCCACCAAGGCAACGAUCAGUAGCCGACCUGAGAGGGUGACCGGCCACAUUGGGACUGAGACACGGCCCAAACUCCUACGGGAGGCAGCAGUGGGGAAUAUUGCACAAUGGGCGAAAGCCUGAUGCAGCAACGCCGCGUGAAGGAAGACGGUUUUCGGAUUGUAAACUUCUAUCAAUAGGGAAGAAAGAAAUGACGGUACCUAAAUAAGAAGCCCCGGCUAACUACGUGCCAGCAGCCGCGGUAAUACGUAGGGGGCAAGCGUUAUCCGGAAUUACUGGGUGUAAAGGGAGAGUAGGUGGCAAGGUAAGCGAUAUGUGAAAGCCUUAAGCUUAACUUAAGGAUUGCAUAACGAACUAUCUAGCUAGAGUACAGGAGAGGAAAGCGGAAUUCCUAGUGUAGCGGUGAAAUGCGUAGAUAUUAGGAAGAACACCAGUGGCGAAGGCGGCUUUCUGGACUGAAACUGACGCUGAGGCUCGAAAGCGUGGGGAGCGAACAGGAUUAGAUACCCUGGUAGUCCACGCUGUAAACGAUGAGUGCUAGGUGUCGGGGAGGAAUUCCCGGUG
rnacentral:rRNA from 1 species